rnacentral:rRNA from 1 species
UGGGGAAUAUUGCACAAUGGGCGCAAGCCUGAUGCAGCCAUUCCGCGUGUGUGAAGAAGGCCUUCGGGUUGUAAAGCACUUUCAGCGUGGAGGAAGGCGGUGAGGUUAAUAACCUCACCGAUUGACGUUACCCGCAGAAGAAGCACCGGCUAACUCCGUGCCAGCAGCCGCGGUAAUACGGAGGGUGCAAGCGUUAAUCGGAAUUACUGGGCGUAAAGCGCACGCAGGCGGUCUGUCAAGUCGGAUGUGAAAUCCCCGGGCUCAACCUGGGAACUGCAUUCGAAACUGGCAGGCUAGAGUCGUGUAGAGGGGGGUAGAAUUCCAGGUGUAGCGGUGAAAUGCGUAGAGAUCUGGAGGAAUACCGGUGGCGAAGGCGGCCCCCUGGACAAAGACUGACGCUCAGGUGCGAAAGCGUGGGGAGCAAACAGG